AGAGUUUGAUCCUGGCUCAGGAUUAACGCUGGCGGCGUGCAUAACACAUGCAAGUCGAACGAUGAAACUUAAAUGAUUUCUUCGGAAUGAACUUAAGUGGAUUAGUGGCGGACGGGUGAGUAACGCGUGAGUAACCUGCCUUACACAAGGGGAUAGCCGUUGGAAACGACGAAUAAUACCCUAUGAAACUAUCACUUCGCAUGAAGCGAUAGUCAAAGUGUUAGCGGUGUAAGAUGGACUUGCGUCUGAUUAGCUAGUUGGUGAGAAAAAAGCCCACCAAGGCAACGAUCAGUAGCCGGCUUGAGAGAGUGUACGGCCACAUUGGGACUGAGACACGGCCCAGACUCCUACGGGAGGCAGCAGUGGGGAAUUUUGCACAAUGGGGGAAACCCUGAUGCAGCGACGCCGCGUGAUUUAGAAGGCCUUCGGGUUGUAAAAAUCUUUUGUAUAGGAAGAAAAUGACAGUACUAUACGAAUAAGGUCCGGCUAAUUACGUGCCAGCAGCCGCGGUAAUACGUAAGGACCGAGCGUUGUCCGGAAUCAUUGGGCGUAAAGGGUACGUAGGCGGGUCAUUAAGUUAGAAGUCAAAGGCUAUAGCUCAACUAUAGUAAGCUUCUAAAACUGGAGACCUUGAGUAAUGGAAGGGAAAGUGGAAUUCCUAGUGUAGCGGUGGAAUGCGCAGAUAUUAGGAGGAAUACCGGUGGCGAAGGCGACUUUCUGGCCAUUAACUGACGCUGAGGUACGAAAGCGUGGGUAGCAAACAGGAUUAGAUACCCUGAUAGUCCACGCCGUAAACGAUGAGUGUUAGUGUCUGGAGUAAAUCUGGGUGCCGCAGCUAACGCAUUAAACACUCCGCCUGGGGAGUACGCACGCAAGUGUGAAACUCAAAGGAAUUGACGG
rnacentral:rRNA from 1 species